UAUCAGGGUCCUUUCAG
rnacentral:piRNA from 1 species